rnacentral:rRNA from 1 species
UACGUAGGGGGCAAGCGUUGUCCGGAUUUAUUGGGCGUAAAGAGCGUGUAGGCGGUUUGGUAGGUCCGCUGUGAAAACUCGAGGCUCAACCUCGAGACGCCGGUGGACACCAUCAGACUAGAGUCCGGAAGAGGAGAGUGGAAUUCCUGGUGUAGCGGUGAAAUGCGCAGAUAUCAGGAGGAACACCGGUGGCGAAGGCGGGUCUCUGGGCAGUAACUGACGCUGAGGAGCGAAAGCGUGGGGAGCGAACAGG